rnacentral:rRNA from 1 species
UCGGGAAUUUUGGGCAAUGGGCGAAAGCCUGACCCAGCAACGCCGCGUGAAGGAUGAAGUAUUUCGGUAUGUAAACUUCGAAAGAAUAGGAAGAAUAAAUGACGGUACUAUUUAUAAGGUCCGGCUAACUCUGUGCCAGCAGCCGCGGUAAUACAGAGGGGGCAAGCGUUGUUCGGAAUUACUGGGCGUAAAGCGCGCGUAGGCGGUCGUAUAAGUCGGAUGUGAAAGCCCUUGGCUCAACCAAGGAACUGCGUCCGAUACUGUACGGCUUGAGGCUGGUAGGGGGUAGCGGAAUUCCCGGUGUAGCGGUGGAAUGCGUAGAUAUCGGGAGGAACACCGAUGGCGAAAGCGGCUACCUGGGCCAGAUCUGACGCUGAGGCGCGAAAGCUAGGGGAGCAAACAGGAUUAGAUACCCCCGUAGUCCCUGAGCGGGCUGGCAAGGCGCAU